CCUACGGGAUGCAGCAGUGAGGAAUAUUGGUCAAUGGGCGCAAGCCUGAACCAGCAAAGUCGCGUGAGGGAUGCCGGUCCUAUGGAUUGUAAACCUCUUUUGUCGGGGAGCCAACGACGCCACUCGUGGCGUUCCGAGCGUACCCGAAGAACCAGCAUAGGCUCUCUCCGUGCCAGCACACGCGGUAAUACGGAGGCUGCGAGCUUUAUCAGGAUUUAUUGGGUUUAAAGUGUGCGCAGGCGGAAGAUCAAGUCAGCGGUAAAAUUGAGUGGCUCAACCUUUUCGAGCCGUUGAACCUGGUGUUCUUGAGGGAGCGAGAAGUAUGCGGAAUGCGGGGUGUAGCGGUGAAAUGCAGAGAUAUCACGCAGAACUCCUAUUGCGAAGGCAGCAUACCGGCGCUCAACUGACGCUCAUGCACGAAAGGGUGGGUAUCGAACAGGAGUAGAUACCCCAGUAGUC
rnacentral:rRNA from 1 species